GGGGGAAAAGAGGGGAGACAUGAAGGACUGGGAGGGCAGAAGAUUGACAGCUGGGAUGACCAAUCCAAAGCUGGGAAGUGUUGGAAGGAGUCAAUCGGCAGCGAAUUGGCGGAGAGAUAGUGACGGUUGGAAAGAGUGUGCGAGACAGGAAGGAGGGCAGAUAGUUGACCUGGCGAAGGACAUAUCAGAUGAAAUAAUAUUAUUGAAAACGCAACUGACCAAUGGUAAGCUCUGGCUUUGUGGGCGUGUGUUUGAAUGGACCAAUGGAAAGCGAGUCGACGUGGAAAGUGUGGCGGGUGGUGAGACCGCGAGGUAGGAGUGGAUAUGAUUGAUAAGGACCUGGACCUAUCAGAGCGCGACUAUUGAUUCAAGUGGAGGCAGACCAAUGGGAAGCUGCGGCUGAGGGUGCGGGUUUUGGAAUGAGCCAAUGCGUAGGCGGUGACGUAGUAACGGUGCUCUGACUGAGGGGGCGGUGUUAGGAAUGGACCACCCGGGAGAGAAUGGGCGGGGACAGUGUAAAGCUUGACGGAGGAGAAGCUCAAACAUGGUCGAGGAACAUCCGCAGAGAGCGGCCCCGAACUGCUGGACAACUGGGGCUGAUAGAGGCUCAGUCUCAGCAGCGAACGCUACAAAUUGAGGAUGGAAGCCAGGAAGAGGAAUCUAGCAAGAAAGAAAAGGGAGGAGGGGCCGAACCGGAAAGGCUUUGAGCUCUAAAACAAAAAGCGAGUGGAGGAGAGGCCUGAAGCUGCCGAUAUGGAUUGACAAAAAGCUAUAGAAGAACUUACGCUGAAGAAAGCUUCUCCACAUCGUUAGCUUCUGUCCUUAACUCAGCAGGAACUGGACCUUAGUUUAUCAUUCUUUCUGAAAGACCUCUGGUAGAGCCACCGUAAGACACGGCUCUGAAGAAGCCCACCGGAGGCUCCCUAUGAAGAACCUCCGAAGUCCCACCCAGCCAAGACUCCCCCAAAGACAAAGACUCAGUAGACCCGUCCCGAAGAGCCCAACCAGGAUAUUGGUGGCAGCGACCAAGACUGGCAUUGUGCAGCAGCCGAGAGUCGGUGUCUAUCAGCGUUGAUUUGGGGCUGAGUUGAUUUAGAAGUUGAGCAUUUUGGAUUCAAUGGUUGAAGAUAGAAUUGUUUUGGGAGUAGGAUCCACCCUGGACGGUCAGAGCACACAAUGUGUGCACUGCUCUGCCUACUCGCGCGCGCACACAUACACACACACACAGCCCUGGACACGCGGAGCUCACCGUGUGGCCGUACUAUACACAGUGACACACACACACACACCGCCCUGGACAUGUGGAGCUCGCAGCUCGCAUAAAGAUCCAAUAUACUAUCAACACAGAUCAACGGGUCAAACUGGAGCCGUUUGUUUCAUUGACAAUCCAACGAUUGAGAAUAUAAAUGUGGUG